rnacentral:siRNA from 1 species
GCACCUGCGCUCCGUGCUGCACC